rnacentral:rRNA from 1 species
CAGCAGCCGCGGUAAUACGAAGGGUGCGAGCGUUAAUCGGAAUUACUGGGCGUAAAGCGUGCGUAGGCGGUUUGUUAAGUCUGUUGUGAAAUCCCCGUGCUCAACCUGGGAAUGGCAAUGGAUACUGGCAAGCUAGAGUGUGUCAGAGGAUGGUGGAAUUCCCGGUGUAGCGGUGAAAUGCGUAGAGAUCGGGAGGAACAUCAGUGGCGAAGGCGGCCAUCUGGGACAACACUGACGCUGAGGCACGAAAGCGUGGGGAGCAAACAGGAUUAGAUACCCCCGUAGUCCCUGUCUCUUAUAC